UGUAUCUGAAGUCUGACGAGGAUGAGAACCUCCGGGGGCAAGAGGUUCGACCCGAGCGAAGCGAGAGAACGUUGCGUCAGCAACGGCCCGCAGGGCGAGCCACGC
rnacentral:sRNA from 1 species